AACGAACGCUGGCGGCAUGCCUAAUACAUGCAAGUCGAACGAGAUCUUCGGAUCUAGUGGCGCACGGGUGCGUAACGCGUGGGAAUCUACCCUUGGGUUCGGAAUAACAGUUAGAAAUGACUGCUAAUACCGGAUGAUGACGUAAGUCCAAAGAUUUAUCGCCCAAGGAUGAGCCCGCGUAGGAUUAGCUAGUUGGUGGGGUAAAGGCCUACCAAGGCUACGAUCCUUAGCUGGUCUGAGAGGGUGAUCAGCCACACUGGGACUGAGACACGGCCCAGACUCCGACGGGAGGCAGCAGUAUGGAAUAUUGGACAAUGGGGGAAACCCUGAUCCAGCAAUGCCGCGUGAGCGAUGAAGGCCUUAGGGUUGUAAAGCUCUUUUACCCGGGAUGAUAAUGACAGUACCGGGAGAAUAAGCCCCGGCCAACUCCGUGCCAGCCGCCGCAGUAA
rnacentral:rRNA from 1 species